AGCUCUUAAAGUUAUGGGGUCCUCAUUCCGUCGUUGCAAGAGCAAACAAGAGUGGGAAGUUCAAUGGAAAAAAGUGAAACGAGUUCCAAUCGGAGAAAUCCAGAAAGUGUUGAGAGUAAGUUACGAUGGAUUAGAUGACAAUGAGAAGGAGAUAUUUCUUGAUAUAGCAUGUUUUUGUAAAGGCUAUUUGAGGAAAAGUGUAGAAAAAAUGUUAGAUAGUUGUUAUUUCUUUUUGGAAGCAGGAAUCAAUGAUCUUAUUGAUAGGUCUCUCAUAUCAAUUUCACAAGAUAUGAGCUUAAAAAAAGCGAAAGAGAAAUACUCAGGAGAACGGAUAGUAGAGAUGCAGUCAGUAGAACGGAUAGAGAUGCAUGAUUUGGUGCAGGAAAUGGGUAGGGCAAUUGCUCGAAAACAAGGCAGUAGGUUGUUCAAUGCAAAUGACGUCUAUCAAGCGUUGACAAAUAACCAGGUACGUAGUAAUAUUCACAUUUGCAAAAAACAAGUCAGAUUAUUCCUACAAAUGUAAUUUGGAUUAAACUUUUUUUUUGUAUAUUAUAUUCACAUUUAUAUUUACUCUUGAUUGUCAGAGAGAUGGACAUGUUCAAGCCAUAUCCUUUGACUCGAGUAAGAUUGAAAAGCCACACUUGAAAGAUGCAAACUUCAAAAAGAUGUAUCAACUCAGAUGGCUACGUGUUAGUUAUUCUAUUCUUUUUAGAGGUUCUCUUCAUCUUCCCAGUUCUCUUAGAUAUCUUUACUGGGAGGGAUAUCCUUUGGAAUCUUUGCCAUCAAAAUUUUCUGCUCAAAAUCUUCUUGUCCUUUAUACGCCGUACAGCAAAUUUGGGGUGCAACUUUGGAAUGAAGACAAGGUAUAUUAUAUAUGUUUAUUUUAGUUCUUGUAUAACAUGUGGCCUAGAAAGUUAUAAUCUACAAUUAAGCUAAUAAGUUAUUAAUUCUUGUUUAAUUUGUUACAGAUUCCAGUGAACUUAAAACGUAUCAAUCUUCUUUCCUGCCAGUAUCUAACUGAAGUCCCAAAUCUCUCUCAGUGUCUAAAUAUUGAGCAUAUAAAUCUGGGAAGCUGUGAAAGUUUGGUUGAAAUUCCUUCGUAUUUUCAACAUCUUGGCAAGCUUACUUAUCUUGACCUUUCGAUGUGCUACAAGCUCAAAAAUCUUCCCGAGAUGCCAUGCAAUCUUGAAUUCUUAGAUUUGUCUUGGACAGCAAUAGAGGAAUUGGCUUCAUCAGUUUGGUCUCACGAAAAAAUAUCUCGCUUAGAUAUUAGAUAUUGUGAACACCUUAAGAGUCUUCCAAGCAACACUUGUAAACUGAAACUCUCGAGUUCUUUUAGUCUAAAGGGCUGCAAAUCUCUUUGCGAGUUUUGGGAACUUCCCAGGGAUACAACAGUGCUAGAGUUUAGUAGUACAACAAUAAAAGAAUUGAGGAAUGAAUCAAUAGAGUCUGUUAUUGGUCCCACUGCAAUUAAACUGACCAAUUGCAAAAGCCUUGUGAGUCUCCCAAUGAACAUUUGGAAGUUGAAAUAUCUGGAGAGCCUUAAGCUCAGUGGUUGCUCUAACUUUCAACACUUCCCAGAAAUCUCAGAGGCUAUGGAACAUCUGGAGUUUCUAAAUUUAUCAGGUACAAUGGUUAAAGAGGUACCCAAAUCAAUUGAAAAUCUAGUUGCGCUUCGAAAAUUACACAUGGUUGAGUGCAGUAUACAAGAAAUCCCUGAUGACCUUUUUUGCUUAAGCUCAUUACAAGAGUUAAAUCUAAGUUUGACCGAAAUUAAGAGCAUACCUGCAAGCGUCAAACAAGCUGCUCAACUAUCUCGCUUGUGCCUCAACGGUUGUGAGAGCCUUGAAUCUUUACCAGAGCUCCCCCCAUUAUUGCAAUGUCUUGAAGCAGAAGAUUGCGUGUCACUGAGGACAGUGUCAAGUUCAAGCACUGCACUCGCACAAGGUUGGGAAAAAUAUAUAUUUUCUCAAGGGCUUCAUGAGCAACAUGUAUUUUCUGAUUGCAGAAGAUUGGAUGAGAAUGCACGAAGCAACAUAUUGGGUGAUGCACAGCUCAGAAUUAUGCGAAUGGCAACUGCGUCAUCGAAGUUUAAAGAAGACGAAAUUGAGGUGCUCUCUCUCUCUCUCUCUCUCUCUCUCUCUCUCUCUCUCUCUCUCUCUCUCUCUCACUUCUGUUGAAGAAGUUGCUCUUUGUUUUCCAUGAGUUUAAUAACUAUGAUGUCCAUUUCUAUGGUACAGGAAUCUUUACGCAAGAGAUCUUUUGUUGCCAUUAGAUGUUGCGGGAAUGAAAUUCCAAAAUGGUUCAGCCAUAAAAGUGAGGGAUGUUCAAUAAAGAUUGAGCUUCCUCGUGAUUGGUUUAGCACAGAUUUCUUGGGUUUCGCUCUAUCUCUUGUUGUUGACUUUGCUCCACGGGAUAUGGGGCUUUUUUGCAAGUUCAGCUUCAAAACUAGUAAUGGUGAAAGCCAUGAAGUCAUCCAUCAUUUGUCUAGUCUGUACCCGAAAAAUUUCAUUACAAGCGAGUUAUUUUCUUGUGGUGAGGUGUUUGUGUGGUGGCAUGAUAAUUUCUUUGAAGAAGUUGUAGAGGGAGCUCAAAGCCCCACUGCGUUUUACAAACUUGUUACUGAGGUCAAUGUGUACUUCAUCGUAUGGAAUCGUGCUGAGGUGAAAAAGUGUGGGAUAUGUCUGUUGUAUGGCAAAGAUGCUGAGAUGAUAAAGCAGAGGGCUUUGUAGAUCAAGCCGAUAUCCCUAAAUUCAAAAUUUCAGUUUAUUUGAGCUGUUUGCAAGACUUGUGGCUGAGGAUGCUUUUUGAGUUUCUUAGGCUUAGGGAUGUCUUUCUUGUUUUAACCCUUCGUCCUCUCCAUCGCCAAGCUUUUUGUCUGAGGAUGCUUUUGAGUUUAGUUUCUCACGGUCAUGCCCCAUGUAAUUUUCUUCAUUGAAUUCAAGUAUUAAAUUGUUAAAAGUUAACAGUAUUAAAUUUUGCAUCAAUUGGAUUUCUGCUUCAAGUUGUAAUGGCUUCAUUCUUAAUCAUAAAAGGGAAAUUGGCACCUUUCUUCAGUUUGCAUUUCUUAAAUGAAAUACGUUCUUCUUCUUCUUCUUCUUCUCUUCCUUUUCCUGCUCCCCUUCAAGAAAAGUACGAUGUGUUUCUUAGUUUCAGAGGUGAGGACACACGCGAUGCUUUUACCAGCCAUCUUCACAAGGCUUUACUUGGGAAGAACAUUGACACCUACAUAGAUAACAGACUUGAGAAAGGAGACGACAUUGGACCUACCCUUCUACAAGCAAUCGAGAAAUCGGAACUUGCACUAGGAAUGAAGACCAGGUAUAUUAUAUAUGCUUCUUUUAGUUCUUGUAUAACAUGUGGCCUAGAAAGUAAUAAUAUUCUGCAAGCCAAUUUAUUAAUUCUUGUUUAAUUUGUUACAGAGUCCUGUGAACUUAAAACGGAUCAAUCUUUAUUUUUCUAAACAUCUAUCCGAAGUCCCAAAUCUCUCUGAGAGUCUAAAUAUUGAGCAUAUAAAUCUGCACUCCUGUAAUAGAUUGGUUGAAAUUCCUUCGUAUUUUCAACAUCUUAGCAAGCUUACUUAUCUUGACCUUAAGCUGUGCGAAAAUCUCAAAAAUCUUCCUGAGAUGCCAUGCAAUCUUGAAGUCUUACUUUUAUCUUACACAGCAAUAGAGGAAUUGGCUUCAUCAGUUUGGUCUCACGAAAAAAUAUAGUACUUAGAUAUUAAAUUUUGUAGACGCCUUAAGUCUUCCAAGCAACAGUUGUAAGCUGAAACUCUCGAGUUCUUUCAGUCUAGGGGGCUGCAAAUCUCUUUGUCAGUUUUGGGAGCUUCCCAGGAAUACAACAGUGCUACAGUUGAAUGGUACAACAAUAAAAGAAUUGAGGAAUGUUAGAAUUUGGCAUAGAUAUAUUGUUUCUGGUUUUUACAGUUUUCUAAGUAAAAACCUUUUCUCUAGCAACGUAUGCUAUAUUGAAUAGAAUCCAAAAAGAGAGAGAGUAAAUGAGAAUGUUAUCAGCCUGCUGCUAUAUUGCAGCAGAGCCAGCAACAGACACACAAGGCAUGACACAAGCUGCCAAAAAACAUAUCCUAAAAACUAGGACACAAUGACUCAUCUCCAGCCAAUCACAGGUCAUUGGAGGCUCAAAUUCUUACCCUAGAUAAGAAUUUGUUACAACAGAAAAUCUAGGACAGCUAAGGAAGGACAGCUGUAGACUUUCCUAAAAUAGUAAGAAAACUAGCCGUUAACAUAAUCUGUAACGGCUAUUACUAAAAAAGUAAAGUUCCUCAGCUCCUUCGAUUCUUCAUCCUAUUCACUGUCAAUCUGCAGGAUUAACUUCUGCAGCUUGAUUCCAUACUAGUAAGCAGCUUAACUCUCAACAGCCUCUCCUAAGCUACUUACUGGUUUAACUCCAAGCUUCAACCUCAAAAAAUUGAAUCGAUCUUUGGGCAAAGCUUUUGUAAAAAUAUCUGCCAACUGUUCUUCACUUCUGCAAAAAAUCAUCUUGAUCACUCCUUCCUGCAAAGCUUCUCUUAUGAAAUGAUACCUUCGAUUUAUAUGCCUUGUUUUCUGAUGGAAAACAGGAUUUUUGAUCAUUGAGAUUGCUGACAUGUUGUCACAAAACAGUGGUGUUGCAUCAGAUUGCAUUUCACCAAAAUCAUCCAACACAAACCUCAACCAAAUGGCUUGAGCUGUUGCCUCAGCUGCUGAGACAUAUUCAGCUUCUGCAGUUGACAGUGCAACUGUGUUUUGCUUGACAGAAGCCCAAGAAAAACUCCACUGCCAAAACUGAAUGCAUAUCCAGAUGUGCUUCUACUGUCAUCUUCACUGCCAGCCCAAUCAGAAUCACAAAAACCAAUCAGGACAGCAUUCUUGUCCCUUGUAAACUCAAUGCCAUAGCUGAUAGUGCCUUGAAUGUAUCUAAGAACCCUUUUUGCAAUUCCCAUAUGCUUCUUUGUGGGACUAUGCAUGAAUCUUGAUAACAAACUGGCUGCAAACAUUAUGUCAGGUCUAGUUGCAGUUAGAUACAGCAGACUGCCAACUAUUUUUCUAAACAAACCUUCAUCAGCCAGGUCACUUCCAUCAACUUUCUUUAGUUUCUCACCAGUGGGUAGAGGAAUUGUUACUGGCUUACAAUCCUCAAGACCAAACUUCACAAGCAAGGACUUUGCAUACUUGCUUUGAUGAAUAAACACCCCUUUUUCAGUUUGUAGAACUCCCAUCCCCAAGAAAUGAUGUAGGAGUCCUAAGUCAGUCAUUUCAUACUUCUGCAUCAUGUCCCUUUUAAACUCACUGAGCAGUGCAUUACUGCUUCCAGUAUAGACAAUAUCAUCAACAUAUAUAGAGACAAUAAUCAGUUUACCUUCUUCAUCUGUUCUGGUAUAUAAAGUGGCCUCACUAGUGCUUCUUUUAAAGUUGCAGCUUGUAAAAUAGGUGUCUAUUUCACUGUACCAGGCUCUGGGAGCCUGCUUCAAACCAUAGAGAGCCUUCUUCAGUUUAUAGACUUUUUGACUUGCCUUUUUCACUUCAAACCCUUCUGGUUGCUCAAUAUAAACCUCCUCCUCAAGUACUCCAUUUAAGAAGGCUGACUUAACAUCUAAUUGGAACAACUUCCAACCCUUUUGAGCUGCAAGUGCAAUCAAUGUUCUAAUUGUAUCUAACCUUGCCACUGGAGCAAAGGUCUCAUUAUAGUCAAUUCCAGGUUUCUGAGCAUACCCUUUAGCUACAAGCCUAGCCUUGUGUUUUUGUACUGUUCCAUCCAGAUUUAGCUUGGUUUUGAACACCCAUUUGACUCCUAUGACUGGUUUAUCCGAGGGUCUUUCCACCAGCUCCCAAGUUUCAUUCUUUUCAAUGGUUUCAAUCUCAGCCUCCAUUGCUUCCUUCCAUGCUUUGUCUUCAAUAGCUUCAUAAAACGUUUCAGGUUCAAUAAUAGUCAUGUGACAUCUUGCAUAGAUGUCCUCCAAACUUCUUAACUUUACUGGUGUAUUAGUUGGAGUUGGGCCUUGACUGGUGUCACUGCCAUUGUUUUCAGAAACAUGUUCAUCAUCUGAGUUUAAAUGAUUCAGGUUUGGUGAAUCAAUGCUGUGAAUUUCAUGUGAGAUUUCUGCUUCAUUUGUCUCUGAAUUUCCAUUUUCAAAGAUGAGAGGCAUUGGGACAGAUUCAUCUUGCUUGCUUUCCCAAUUCCAGAAUUUAUUCUCAUCAAAAACAACACUUCUUGAGAGUAUAAUCUUCUCAGUUUGAAGAUUAAAAAUCCUGUAACCCUUCUCACAGCUGCCAUAACCCAUAAAGACACCUUUGCUUGCUUUGUCAUCAAACUUCUGUCUAAGGUUUGAUGGAAUGUGACUGAAGCAGAUGCUGCCAAACACUCUCAGAUGUUUUACACCUGGUCUUCUUCCUAUGAAAGCUUCAAAUGGUGUUUUAUCUGAAAUAGUAGUGGUAUAGCAUCUGUUUUGCAGAUACACUGCAGUACCAACUGCUUCAGCCCAGAAUUUUAAAGGAACUUUCUUCUCAGUCAUCAUUGAUCUUGCCAUUUCACAGAUGGUUCUGUUUCUUCUCUCAGCAACCCCAUUUUGCUGAGGUGAGUAGGCAAUAGUUAGUUGCCUCUCCAUGCCAAGGUCACUGCAAAACUCCAGGAAUUCAUGUGAAGUGUAUUCUCCACCUCUGUCACUUCUUAACUUCUUUAAGCUGAAUCCACUCUGUAGCUCAACAAAAGCUUUGAACUUUUUGAACACACUUAUCACACUUGACUUAUUUCUGAGAAAAUAUACCCAACACAUUCUUGAGAAGUCAUCAAUGAAUGUGAUGAAGUAUUUGUUUCCUCCAAUGGACUCAUUUUGCAUUGGGCCACAUACAUCUGUGUGUAUCAAUUCAAGGGGAGUGGUAGCUCUCCAAGGCUUCUCAUUUUCAAAUGGUUCCCUGUGGCUUUUACCAUACACACACCCUUCACAUACUCCUUCCUUUUCUGAGAAAUUAGGCAGGCCUAACACCAUUUGAGUUUGCUGCAUUUUUUUCAUGCUUGCAAAGUUCAAAUGACCCAACCUUCUGUGCCAAAUCCAUGGAUCUUCUUGUACUGCUGCCCUCAUUCCCAUUGAGCAGAUAGACUCCAUAGAUAGUGGGAAACAUCUAUUUCCUGCCAUUGCAACUUUGGCAACAACAUUAUCAAGGCUGCUGUCAUCACAUAUCAAUGCAUAGUUGUCUCCAAAUAGGAUGUAGUAACCAUGCUCCAUCAUUUGUCCUAUACUCAACAAAUUCUCAUCCAGGCCAGGAACAAGCAGCACUUCAUGUAUGUAUCUUCUCCCUUUUCUUGUUUCAACUACAAGUGUUCCCUUUCCUGUGGCUUGAACAAGAUCACCAGUGCCCAUUUUCACUUUGCAGGUCACUGAUCUAUCAAGAUUGAUCAAUAAAGCCUCUUGAGAGGUCAUGUGGUUGCUGCAAGCACUAUCAACAAACCACACAGAUUUGCUUGAUGCAAUUGAACUUGCAUGACAAGCAUAGAACAUUGUUCCUGUGAUUGCCUCUUCCUCCUUUGCACAGUUUGCAACUUGCUUACCACUUUCACAGUCCUUGGUUAGAUGACCAAAUCGACUGCACUUUCCACACUUAGGUUUUCCUUUAUAUCUGCACACACCAAAAUGAUAUUUUUGGCACACUUGGCACUGUGGUUUCACCCCACCUUGACUGCUACUGCCAGGUUUGUUUUGAGAAUCAAAAACGUUGUUCCAAUUCCCUCCAGAGCCAUUAUUGCUAUUAAAGUUUCCACCUUGAGACCAGUUUGAGCCCUUUUUGUUCUGUCCAUGCCAUUUUUGAUUUGACUUUCCCUGAGAACUCUUGUUAGCUCCAGAAGCUUGAUUAUUUCCAAUUCUGAGACUGCUGAAAGCCUUCUCAGUUCCUGCCAUUUUAUCUCUUUCAUCAUGCAAAUCUUCUCUCUUAUCAUAGACUUUGACAGAAGCAAGAAUUUCUUCAACUCUAAUAGUGUCAAGGUCUCUGGUUUCUUCAAUAAUAGACACUAUGGACUUGUACUUCCUACUUAGACUCAUCAACAGUUUUUGAACAAUCCUUUUCUCUGUUACAUCUUCUCCUAGAGAUUUCAAGUUGUUUACUAUUUCAAAAAACCGAGCCAAGUAGUCAUCCAGAGAUUCAACAUCAUUCAUUCUUAAAUACUCAAAAUCAGCUCUAAUAGCUUGUAAUUUCACAGCUCUUACCUUUUUAUCUCCCCUGAACUCUCUUCUCAGGAUUUCCCAAGCACCUUUUGCAGUCUUCUCAUUUCUGAUGCGAGGAAAAAGUUCAUCUGUAAGUGCUCCUUGAAUAAGACUCAAAGCCUUGGCAUUUUUGAUCUUAUCUUCUCUGGAGAUAGUAGGUGCUUCCUCUGGUAUUUGCUCAGUCUCACCUUCUUCACUUCCAGAAACUACUUCCUCUUCAAUAACCGGCUGUGCUUGUAUUCCAAACUCCACUGCAUCCCAUAAAUCAUAGGCUAUGAGAAUGGUCUCCAUUUUUACUGACCAAAAAUCAUAGUUUGCCCCAUUGAACUGUGGAGUUCGUAGAUCUCCCCCUGCAGAUCCUGAUCCCACCAUUUUUAUGUGAGUUUCAGUGAACCAACCAGUAAAGGAUUACUCACAGCUCACGCCCCUUCUCUGAAAAUCAGACUAGAGCUCUGAUACCAUGUUAGAAUUUGGCAUAGAUAUAUUGUUUCUGGUUUUUACAGUUUUCUAAGUAAAAACCUUUUCUCUAGCAACGUAUGCUAUAUUGAAUAGAAUCCAAAAAGAGAGAGAGUAAAUGAGAAUGUUAUCAGCCUGCUGCUAUAUUGCAGCAGAGCCAGCAACAGACACACAAGGCAUGACACAAGCUGCCAAAAAACAUAUCCUAAAAACUAGGACACAAUGACUCAUCUCCAGCCAAUCACAGGUCAUUGGAUGCUCAAAUUCUUACCCUAGAUAAGAAUUUGUUACAACAGAAAAUCUAGGACAGCUAAGGAAGGACAGCUGUAGACUUUCCUAAAAUAGUAAGAAAACUAGCCGUUAACAUAAUCUGUAACGGCUAUUACUAAAAAAGUAAAGUUCCUCAGCUCCUUCGAUUCUUCAUCCUAUUCACUGUCAAUCUGCAGGAUUAACUUCUGCAGCUUGAUUCCAUACUAGUAAGCAGCUUAACUCUCAACAAGGAAUACAUCAAUAGAGUCUGUUGUUGGUCUCACUGUAAUUGAACUGGCCUAUUGCAAAAGCCUUGUGAGUCUCCCAACGAACAUUUGGAAGUUGAAAUAUCUGGAGAGCCUUGAUCUCAGUAAUUGCUCUAACUUUCAACACUUACCAGAAAUCUCAGAGGCUAUGGAAGAUCUGGGGUUUCUAAAUUUAUCAGGUACAAUGGUUAAAGAGGUACCCCCAUCAAUUGGAAAUCUAGUUGCGCUUCGAAAAUUAGAUCUCAGAGAUUGCAAGUACCUUGAGGUUGUCCAUGAUUACCUCUUUCGCUUAACCUCAUUACAAGAGUUAAAUCUGAGUAGCACCAAAAUUAAGAGCUUACCCUCAAACAUCAAACAAGCUGCUCAACUGUCUCGGCUGUGCCUCAAUUAUUGCAAUAGCCUUGAAUAUUUACCAGAGCUUCCCCCAUUGCUGCAAUGUCUUAAUGCAAAUGGUUGCACAUCACUGAAGACACUGUCAAGUUCAAGCACUGCACUCGCACAAGGUUGGGAAAAAUAUAUUUUUUCUCAAGGGCUUUAUGAGAAACAUAUAUUUUCUGAUUGCAGAAGAUUGGAUGAGAAUGCACGAAGCAACAUAAUGGGUGAUGCACAGCUCAGAAUUAUGCGAAUGGCAACUGCGUCGUCAAAGUUUAAAGAAGACAAAAUUGAAGAAGCAUCAGAUGAUUCAAAUGAGGUCUCUCUCUCUCUCUCUCUCUCUCUCUCUCUCUCUAUUGUUGAAGAAGUUGCUCUUUUUUGUUUCACGAGUUUAAUAACUAUGAUGUCCAUAUCCAUGGUACAGGAAUCUUUCAUUGACAUUAGAUGUUGUGGGAAUGAAAUUCCAAAAUGGUUCAGCCAUAAAAGUGAGGGAUGUUCAAUAAAGAUUGAGCUUCCUCGUGAUUGGUUUAGCACAGAUUUCUUGGGUUUCGCUCUAUCUCUUGUUGUUGACUUUGCUCCAUGGGAUAUGGAGAUUAGAUGCAACUACAACUUCAAAACUAAUAAUGGGGAAUGCAUUGAAGUAUACCAUCCUUUGAGUAAUCUGCGCAUGAAUGUUAGAAGCAGAGAAUCACGUGUGGUGUUUGUGUACUGAGGUCAAUGUUGACUUUGACAUAUGCAGUAUUUACUACGAUCCCUUUCCGGCGGGGGUGGAAAAGUGUGGGAUAUGUCUGUUGUACGGCAAAGAUGCUGAGAUGAUAAAGCAAAGGGCUUUGUAGAUCAAGCCGAUAUCCCUAAAUUCAAAAUUUCAUUUUAUUUGAGCUGUUUGCAAGACUUGUGGCUGAGGAUGCCCAAGGUGCUUUUGAGUUGCAAGAUAAGUUCAUGUCAUCCUCAUCCUCCUUUCAUGUAUUUUCUCGCUGUCAUGAUUUUGGCUUUUACAGAGAGAGAAACGAUUGGGACUGGAUGUGGUAAUAUAUGCAAUCAUCAUCUUAUAAACAUUAAUUAUUGCAACUGGAUGUGGUAAUAUCUAUACUGGUGCAAUAUAAAAAAUGUAUGGUAGGUAAUAGAAUCCAGGGCAAGACGACAUAAGAGUCACACAACACAUCUUUUUCACAGGUUUUAUUUAUUUAUUUAUUUAUUCAUUUUUGUUAAUAGCAAGUUGUUUUUAAAAUAAAGACGAAUUACAAAACAUCCUCAAAUUAUCAAGUUCAUAUAUAUUUUUGGGAUAUUUAUAAUUACAUACACUCACGGAAAACUUACAAUUUACUCCAUCUAUUACAUAAUCCGAAUUCUUUUUUUCUUUUUUUUAAUGACAUGGACUUCCACUUGGACAAAAUUAGUUUUUAUUUGAAUUUAAUUGUUCUUUUUUUUUUUUUCAUUUUUAAUAUCAUUUUUUUCAAUCGACAUGACACAGUAUAAGCGAGUUCACGUGAGACAUUUGAUUAUCACGUCAUCAUUUAACAGAAUAUUUGAAUGAAUGAUGACAUAUAUAUGAAAAUGGUAGAAACUAGAAAGUCAAAUUUUGAGCGCGAAGUUGAUACGAAAAAAACUUUAGGUAGCACAGUUUGAAUUUCGAGAAACUUGUGGAUAGUAAAGUGAAAUUUAUCCUAAUUUUAUUAUAGAAAGAAACUCAAUUUUAAGUCUCCUCCCAUUCCAUCCCAUGUACCAAAAAAUAAUUGUUAAAAAAAACUCAAUUCCAUUUGAAAUUCGAUACAUGUGCAUAUAUUUGCUUACUCCCACAUACUUAGACCAAUUUCAAGAUACAAAAGGUCGAGUCUGCUCCAAGCAAAAAAUUGAAAACAAAAUUGAUGUUGUUAGAAAAUGUUGCGUUAAAUUAGUAUUUUAUUAUUAGACAAGUGAUAAUUUAACGUACUUAUUUGGGUUCUUUGCAACAUAGAAAAAGUGUAUAGUGUGUAAUGGAAUCCUGCAAGACGACACAAGAGUCCAUCGAUCCCCUGAGAGUGAGAAGUGAAAAAGGAAAAGACAAGGGCAAACGAACAUAUAUAAUACACAACUUAUUGCUGAAAAGAAAGAAGGCAGAACCAAAAGCAAGUCCAUAUGGCAAUGUAAUUUUGUAAAGCAAGUAGGAAAGGAGCAGUAGACAAUGAUAUCCAUUGAUCCAAUUUAAUGAACUAAUUCCUCAUCCUAUGAUCAAUGGUAGCUUCAAAAGAUGAUCAACAGUUGGAAAUUAAUUUCUAGGCUGAUUAAUCUGUUUCUUUUCAUUAAAGUCAUUCAAAUAGGGUGUACUUAGUUACUUUUACAUUUUGAUUUAAAUAUUAGGGUGUACUUAGAUCAUAGGGGCAUACUCAGUUAGUGUUAGAAUUCAUUUAACAACAAACUUUGGGUGAUUAAUAAGACAAAAUUUAAAUAAAUAAAAAGAAGUUGUGGUGGUUAUAACGUGUAAAUUGGGGCCAUAUGCAUCUUCUUCCUACAUGGACCCAAUAAGAAAAUACAUAAACAGAACUUUGGGGAUAAGUUUUAGACAUAAACCUUAUAUGAAUAGUCCAUCCUAAUUCUCCAAGUUAGAAAAUAACAUCCAUAUUCUUUCUUGAUUGCACAUGAAAUCUAGUCAUUUUACUAGUCCAAUCUAAUCCAAUCUAAUCCUCCAUAUCAAACAUAGCCGAUUAAUUAGUGUUGGAUCGAAUUAAUGAGUUUGAUCAAAUAAUUAAGAGGUAGGAUUUCAUUUAAGGGCUUAGAUAAGGCCCUCAUAUGCUCUUUCUUGCUUGGGCCUCUCUUGUUGCUUGGGUUCUCAUAUUUUGGGCUCUCCCCCUCAUUUUGUUGUAAGCUUGUUAGGCUCCUAGUACAGUAGCCUUUGGCCUGCCCAUGUAAAAGAAAAUACAAAAGCAUAACUUAACUUUGUAUAGAAAACGUGUAAGGCGGCCCUAUUGUGUCAGUGUAACGUGUUGUCGCUCCCAUUAGAAGUGAACUCAAAAGCGCGUUGAGAGAGAGGGGGGGGCCUCUUGUCACUUUAGCUAGAAUUGAACUCAAGAAAAAUUCUUCGAACCAAAAAAAAAAAAAAAAAAAACUAAAGAAAAAUUCCAUCUCAAAAGCAAAAGUUUGUGCUUCCACUCCCAUUAUCCCAUAUGCCCUUUUCUUUCUUCGGUGUGUGAAUGCUUGAAUUUUUGUCCACCAGUCACUUCUCUUUUUUCAUCUCUGAUUAUUUCCUGGAUUUUGUCAGUUCUUUUCUUAGUCAAGAUCAAGAAAGAGUUGGAUGGCUUGAAAGAGUUGGAUUAUUUUCUGGGUUUUUUUCUUUUCGUAAUUUCCAUUGUUUUUCCGUUUUGUUUUUUUUACGAUUGCUAAAACAUGAUAUAGCCUAUAAGCUCUGCCACUUCUUUCUAGAUGUCAUCCUGAGGUCUUCAUAAUCAUACUUUUAUUUAUUUCUUGAUCUGGCGGUUCUGUCUUAUUUGUGGAGAUUUUUUGGACCUAGUGUUAUUUGCAUAUUUUAUGAAUAUAUACUUGUAGGUUUGCAGGUUUUGGAUAUGGAUUCUUCUUCUUCUUCUUCUUCUUCUCUUCCUGCUCCCCUUCAAACAAAGUACGAUGUUUUUCUUAGUUUCAGAGGUGAAGACACGCGAUACUUUUACCAGCCAUCUUCACGCAGCUUUACGUCGGAAGAACAUCGACACCUACAUAGAUAACAGGCUCGAGAGAGGAGAUGAAAUUGCUCCUACCCUUCUAGAAGCAAUUGAGAAAUCGAAACUUGCACUAGUCAUUUUCUCAAAAGACUAUGCUUCUUCCACAUGGUGUUUGAAAGAACUUGUGCAUAUACUUGGAUGCAAGAAAAGCUAUGGACAGAUUGUUAUACCCAUUUUUUAUCGCAUAGAUCCAUCACAUGUACGAAAACAGCAGGGAACUUAUACACUUGAAGAUCGUCCACUUAAGCGCAGUAGGGAUGAGGUGGCCAACUGGAGGGCUGCUUUGGAGGAAGCAGCCAAUAUGUCUGGGUUUCAUUAUUCCAGCAAAACAGGGUAACUAACUUUCUAAUUUGUAUCCAUUUAUACGUUUUAUUAUUUAAUUCAUACUGUUCUCAUACUAUUGUUCGUCUUUCAUAACGAUAUUUUCCAGGACAGAGGCCGAUUUUGUUGAGAAAGUUGUUCAAGAUGUUUUGACCAAAUUGAAUCGCGAUUUGUCAAGUGAUUUAAAGGGUCUGGUUGGAAUUGAAAAGAAAAUUGAGAAAAUUGAGUCGUUAUUAUGCUUGGAUUCACCAGGUGUUUGCUGUGUAGGUAUUUGGGGCAUGGGUGGUAUUGGCAAGACCACCCUUGCUGAUGCUGUAUUUCACAGGCACUCCUCUAAAUUUGAAGUUUGUUGUUUUCUUGCAAAUGUCAGGGAGAACUCCGAACAAACAAAUGGACUACAUCAGUUGCGAAAUAAACUUGUUGGUGAGAUAUUAAAGCAAAAAGAAGUAAAUAUCGACACUCCGUCUAUACCACCUCAUAUUCAAGAUAGGCUCAGGCGUACAAAGGCGCUCAUUGUUCUUGAUGAUGUGAAUGCUCGAAAACAACUAGAAGAUCUUGUUGGUGAUCAUGAUCGGUUUUGCCAAGGAAGUCGAAUCAUUAUAACUGCUAGAGAUAAAGGCCUACUUGAGCAAAAAGUUGACCCUGCGAAGAUAUUCAGCGUUGAGGGAUUAGGUCCCGAAGAAGCUCUUGAGCUCUUUCAUUCGCAUGCUUUUGGAAAUAAGUCUCCAACAACAGAUUACACUGAGUUGUCAAGAGAGGUGGUGGAUUAUAUUAAGGGAAUCCCAUUAGCUCUUAAAGUUAUGGGGUCCUCAUUCCGUCGUUGCAAGAGCAAACAAGAGUGGGAAGUUCAAUGGAAAAAAGUGAAACGAGUUCAAAUCGGAGAAAUCCAGAAAGUGUUGAGAAUAAGUUACGAUGGAUUAGAUGACAAUGAGAAUGAGAUAUUUCUUGAUAUAGCAUGUUUUCAUAAAGGCUGUAAGAGGAAUGAUGUAGAAAGAAUGUUAGAUAGUUGUGAUUUCUUUGGGGAAGCGGGAAUCAAUGAACUUGUUGAUAGGUCUCUCAUAUCAAUUUCAUAUUCCUG
rnacentral:lncRNA from 1 species